UACGGAGGUGGCGAGCGUUGUCCGAAGUUACUGGGCGUAAAGCGUGCGUAGACGGUAGCGUAAGUCAGAUGUGAAAGCCCCGGGCUCAACCUGGGAAUUGCAUUUGAGACUGCUCUGCUCGGGUGCGGAAGAGGGAAGCGGAAUUUCCGGUGUAGCGGUGAAAUGCGUAGAUAUCGGAAGGAACACCAGUGGCGAAAGCGGCUUCCUGGUCCGACACCGACGUUCAGGCACGAAAGCGUGGGGAGCGAACAGG
rnacentral:rRNA from 1 species